GAAAUUUCUUAUCCAAGGGGGUUGUACUUGGACUACUUGUACCAUGAAAGCAAGGAUUUGAGUGACCUUGUCUCUGUAAUUUAGAGACAAGUGCUAUGUUUGUUUCUGCUGUUGCUUGCUAAUGAUUGUGAUGUUGGGAAGUGGAAUGGUGUUUCUGGUUUCACCUCCAAUGAGUAAACAAUGACUUGGCUUCCUCAAAUAGCUUAUCUGGGUCAAUAUGGAAAGGAGAUGAUGUAACAGAUCCAGGAAAGGCAAAUUAAAAGGAAAACCAAGCUGUGGGAUGAGAACAGGAAGUCACACACUCUUCCAUGUACCACCUCUCCCCCUCUCCCUCUUGUUCCAGGAAAGAACGACUGUCAGGUCUCUUGCAUGGUAUUCUGCAACUUUUUCUAACUUGGGACCCUGAGAAUCACUUAACUGGAGGUGAUUCCAGACAGGCGACUCCUGGAGUUACCAACCCGAAGUUACAGUUGUUCCAGGGGUGCUGGUGGGCACCAAUGCACCCACGGAUACUUUUCUUGGUUCCUACCAAGAUUUGGCAGUGGAAAAGCAGAGGAAGAGGCAUCUGGACCUACUUUCCAUGAAUGAAGCAGAAGGUGACAACCUGAUUUCUAACUGGAACCUGGUGCUCCAAACAUAUAAGACAAGUUCUGGCCUUCCUGCAUUGGCUGCCUGUAUGCCUCCGGUCCCAGUUCAAGGGAAGGAAGGUGGUGGAAAUUCUGUUGAUGCAAUGGUCCAAAGAUACGAGGGGAUGCUGUGAGGAACAACAGAAAAGAAAAUGGUGGCCACGACUCCAACAGGAUUUAUGUUUUUCAGAAAGACAACCACAAAGAAGACGGACAGAUUCUUGUACAGAAUAUUGGCUAUGGUAGAAUGGAUAUUAUAUAUUCAAUACACGUCUUUCUCAGUUUUCUCCUGUUAUUUUUACUGGGUUGCCCUCUUUUUGUGGUGUUAACAGUCACGCAUAUUUGGCUGAGCUUAGACUGCAUGAUUUAGAGAAUUAUAAGGAGAGCAGAUCACAUUUCUUGUAUAUGUAAUCUGUUUAAAUAUGUAUCAUAGCAACUCCUGGGAUAAAUGGUUUGCAUUACA